rnacentral:rRNA from 1 species
CUGGUUGAUCCUGCCAGUAGUCAUAUGCUUGUCUCAAAGACUAAGCCAUGCAUGUCUAAGUAUAAACACCUUUAUACUGCGAAACUGCGAACGGCUCAUUAUAUCAGUUAUAAUCUACUUGAUCGUAUCCUCUUACUUGGAUAACCGUAGUAAUUCUAGAGCUAAUACAUGCAAAAGAUCCCGACUGGUGACGGAAGGGAUGUAUUUAUUAGGUCCAAAAUCAAUACCGCUUCACGGCGGGUCCAUUGAUGAUUCAUAAUAACUAAACGAAGCGCAGGGCUUGUCUCGGCGCUGAUACAAACGAGUUUCUGCCCUAUCAACUUUCGAUGGUAGUAUAGGGGACUACCAUGGUCGUAACGGGUAACGGGGAAUUAGGGUUCGAUUCCGGAGAAGGAGCCUGAGAAACGGCUACUACUUCCAAGGAAGGCAGCAGGCGCGCAAAUUACCCAAUGUUAAUACGAUGAGGUAGUGACGAGAAAUAACGAUGCCGGUCCUUAGGGAUUGGUAAUCGUCAUGAGUACAAUGUAAAUAUGCUUAACGAGGAACAAUUGGAGGGAAAGUCUGGUGCCA